GGAGCUAAUAAAACUGAGGGCAGAACACAUAAUGUGGAAAUGAGAACCUUAUUCUUGUCAAUGGAUGGAGGGUGGAAGAAGACCCUCACCAGAUUCCAGCCCCUCGAUCUUUGAUUUUCCAGCCUCCAAAAACAUGAGCCAGUAAAUUUCUGUUUGUUUGUUAUAAAUUACCCAGUCUGUGGUGUUCUGUUAUAGCAGCACAAAAUGAGACAAAUGGUCAGGUAACACUGAAAAACACUGUAAAGCACUCAAAUAUCAGUGGUCAGGAAUGUGCUGCAGCAGAUCCUCUCUCUCUUAUUAAUUCCAGAACACCAAAUGUCUUAGUCCAUUUUGCCUUACCAUAAAGGAAUACCCAAGGCUGGUAAUUUAUAAAUAAAAGAGGUAUAUUUGGCUUAUGCUUCCACAGCCUGUACAAGAAACAUGGUGCCAGCAUCUGCUUCUGGUGAGGACUGCAGGAAGCUUCCAAUCAUGGUCCAAAAAAUGCAGAGCGUGCGUGUCACAUGAUAAGAGAUGGAGCGUGAGAAAGAGGCAGGAGGAGAAAGGACCCCCACCUUUACAACUGUCUGUAAUUCUCACUAGCAGUAUAUUAGAGGGCAAAAGAUUUGAACAGACACAUCAGAAAAGAAGACAUACAAAUGGCCGCUAAGCACUUGAAAGGAUUCUGAACACCAUUAGUCAUCAGUGAAAUGCAAAUUAAAGCCAUAAUGAAUGGCGCUAUACAUUUUCAGAAUGGCAAGGAUUGAAGACUGAAAAAAAUCAAGCGUUGGGAGAGUGACAAAUGGGGAGACAGCCGUGGUGCAUGAUCGCCGAAGAAAUACCAUGUGAGGAUACAGCAAGAAGGUGGCCAUCUACAAGCCAAGGAGACAGGCCUCAGAAGAAACCAACCCUUCUUACACCCUGGACUCAGACUUCUAAUCUCCAGAACUCACAGGGUCUCUAUAUUUCUCAGGCUGGUUUCACACUCCUGGCCUCAAGCAAUUCUCCCUCCUAAGCCUCCUAAAGCAUAAGGUUAAUGCACAAGGUCUUGUGUUGAAAAUGUAGAGCCACGAGAUAAAAGCAGCUUGAAUGGCUGACUCAUAUACAAGGACAACUGCCUGAGAGUCACCAGGACUAUCAAGAAGUUUGCAGAAACAAGAAAUAAACUUUUACUGUUUUAAACUUUUGUGAAUUUUGG
rnacentral:lncRNA from 1 species